CUUUAUUUUCAGCCUUUUGGCUAAGAUCGAGUGGAAGAUCUGUUCUUAUCAGUUUCAUAUCUGAUACGUCCUCUAUCCAAGGACAAUGCAUUAAAUGGAUUUUAGGAACAGGUAGAUAGAAUAGGAGAUUGCUCUGCCCACUCCUCCAGGUACAGUGCCCCCCUGUCCGGAGCUUCAAAC
ensembl:snRNA U2 U2 spliceosomal RNA